CAAAUACUCCCUCCAUUUGGAAUUACUUGUCACAAAAAUGGAUGUAUCUACAACUAAAAUACAUCUAGAUACAUUCAUUUCUUGGACGAGUAAUUCCGAACGGAGGGAGUAUAAG
rnacentral:pre_miRNA from 1 species